UACGAAGGGGGCUAGCGUUGUUCGGAAUUACUGGGCGUAAAGGGCUCGUAGGUGGCCAACUAAGUCAGACGUGAAAUCCCCAGGCUCAACUUGGGAACUGCGUCUGAUACUGGAUGGCUUGAAUUCGGGAGAGGGAUGCAGAAUUCCAGGUGUAGCGGUGAAAUGCGUAGAUAUCUGGAGGAACACCGGUGGCGAAGGCGGCAUCCUGGACCAACACUGACACUGAGGAGCGAAAGCCAGGGGAGCAAACGGG
rnacentral:rRNA from 1 species